rnacentral:rRNA from 2 species
AUGGCGGCGUGCUAAUACAUGCAAGUCGAGCGAACUGAUUAGAAGCUUGCUUCUAUGACGUUAGCGGCGGACGGGUGAGUAACACGUGGGCAACCUGCCUGUAAGACUGGGAUAACUUCGGGAAACCGAAGCUAAUACCGGAUAGGAUCUUCUCCUUCAUGGGAGAUGAUUGAAAGAUGGUUUCGGCUAUCACUUACAGAUGGGCCCGCGGUGCAUUAGCUAGUUGGUGAGGUAACGGCUCACCAAGGCAACGAUGCAUAGCCGACCUGAGAGGGUGAUCGGCCACACUGGGACUGAGACACGGCCCAGACUCCUACGGGAGGCAGCAGUAGGGAAUCUUCCGCAAUGGACGAAAGUCUGACGGAGCAACGCCGCGUGAGUGAUGAAGGCUUUCGGGUCGUAAAACUCUGUUGUUAGGGAAGAACAAGUACGAGAGUAACUGCUCGUACCUUGACGGUACCUAACCAGAAAGCCACGGCUAACUACGUGCCAGCAGCCGCGGUAAUACGUAGGUGGCAAGCGUUAUCCGGAAUUAUUGGGCGUAAAGCGCGCGCAGGCGGUUUCUUAAGUCUGAUGUGAAAGCCCACGGCUCAACCGUGGAGGGUCAUUGGAAACUGGGGAACUUGAGUGCAGAAGAGAAAAGCGGAAUUCCACGUGUAGCGGUGAAAUGCGUAGAGAUGUGGAGGAACACCAGUGGCGAAGGCGGCUUUUUGGUCUGUAACUGACGCUGAGGCGCGAAAGCGUGGGGAGCAAACAGGAUUAGAUACCUGGG